GACGAACGCUGGCGGCGUGCUUAACACAUGCAAGUCGAACGGAAAGGCCCUGCUUUUGUGGGGUGCUCGAGUGGCGAACGGGUGAGUAACACGUGAGUAACCUGCCCUUGACUUUGGGAUAACUUCAGGAAACUGGGGCUAAUACCGGAUAGGAGCUCCUGCUGCAUGGUGGGGGUUGGAAAGUUUCGGCGGUUGGGGAUGGACUCGCGGCUUAUCAGCUUGUUGGUGGGGUAGUGGCUUACCAAGGCUUUGACGGGUAGCCGGCCUGAGAGGGUGACCGGCCACAUUGGGACUGAGAUACGGCCCAAACUCCUACGGGAGGCAGCAGUGGGGAAUAUUGCACAAUGGGCGGAAGCCUGAUGCAGCAACUCCGCGUGCGGGAUGACGGCCUUCGGGUUGUAAGCCGUUUUCGCCUGUGACGAAGCGUGAGUGACGGUAAUGGGUAAAGAAGCACCGGCUAACUACGUG
rnacentral:rRNA from 1 species